rnacentral:rRNA from 1 species
GACGAACCGUACGAACGUUAUUCGGAAUCACUGGGCUUAAAGGGUGCGUAGGCGGCGCGACAAGUUGGGUGUGAAAUCCCUCGGCUCAACCGAGGAACUGCGCCCAAAACUGUCGUGCUCGAGGGAGACAGAGGUGAGCGGAACUUAGGGUGGAGCGGUGAAAUGCGUUGAUAUCCUAAGGAACACCGGUGGCGAAAGCGGCUCACUGGGUCUCUGUUGACGCUGAGGCACGAAAGCUAGGGUAGCGAACGGG